rnacentral:tRNA from 1 species
GAUCCCGUAGCUCAGUUGGAUAGAGCAUCUGCCUUCUAAGCAGAGGGUCGCAGGUUCAAGUCCUGCCGGGAUCGCCA